AUGAACGCUGGCGGCGUGCCUAAUACAUGCAAGUCGAGCGAACAGACGAGGAGCUUGCUCCUCUGACGUUAGCGGCGGACGGGUGAGUAACACGUGGAUAACCUACCUAUAAGACUGGGAUAACUUCGGGAAACCGGAGCUAAUACCGGAUAAUAUAUUGAACCGCAUGGUUCAAUAGUGAAAGACGGUUUUGCUGUCACUUAUAGAUGGAUCCGCGCCGCAUUAGCUAGUUGGUAAGGUAACGGCUUACCAAGGCAACGAUGCGUAGCCGCCCUGAGAGGGGGACGGGCCCAACGGGAACGCAGACCCGGCCCAUACUCUGAGGGGAGGCCGCAGUGGGGAUUCCUGCGAAAGGGGCGAAAGUUUGAGGGAGCACCGCGGCGUGAGGGAUGAAGGUUUUGGAUUUGAAAAACUCUUUUAUGAGAAAAAAACAAUUGUUAAAGAACAUAUGCCCGUCUUGAGGGUACCUAAUAAAAAGGCCCCGCCAAAGUACGUG
rnacentral:rRNA from 1 species